CUACGGGCGGCUCCAGUGGGGAAUAUUGCACAAUGGGGGGAACCCUGAUGCAGCAACGCCGCGUGGAGGAUGACACAUUGCGGUGCGUAAACUCCUUUUAUAUAAGAAGAUAAUGACGGUAUUAUAUGAAUAAGCACCGGCUAACUCCGUGCCAGCAGCCGCGGUAAUACGGGGGGUGCAAGCGUUACUCGGAAUCACUGGGCGUAAAGAGCAUGUAGGCUGGUUUGUAAGUUGGAAGUGAAAUCCUAUGGCUUAACCAUAGAACUGCUUCCAAAACUACUUACCUAGAGUAUGGGAGAGGUAGAUGGAAUUUCUGGUGUAGGGGUAAAAUCCGUAGAGAUCAGAAGGAAUACCGAUUGCGAAGGCGAUCUACUGGAACAUUACUGACGCUCAGAUGCGAAAGCGUGGGGAGCAAACAGGAUUAGAUACCCGAGUAGUC
rnacentral:rRNA from 1 species